GGGCUGCGCUUGCGUGGGGUGAAGGCGCUGAUGGAGCGCGUGAGCCAAUGCUGGGCGACACUUUGGGCACCCUGGGGCACAGUGGGAUUUCGGAGGGGUGAACGUCUCCCGAAAGCAGCUGUGAGCUGGGCUGCUUGUUCUGUACUCUAGAGAGGCCAUGGUUUCCUGUUGAGCCUCUGCCUUUGCCAACUCCCUGUUUUGUCCUGAUGCCCCAUGCAGCAGUGGGUGGAAUGGGAGACACUGCACGAGGAUGGCCAUUGCUGAAGUGCAUGUGUUGCAUCACGUGUUGCUCAUCAGAGAGAUUGUGGAGUCUCCCUCAAGAACAUCUGGACAUAAUCCUGUGCCAUGUGCUCUUAGAUGACCCUGCUUGAGCUGGGACGUUGUACCAGACGACCCACUGGGAUCCCUUCCAACCUGACCCAUUCUAUGAAUAUAAAGCCACACAAGGCAACUCGCAACAAGGCAAGCAGAGAAAGCCUCAAGCAGUGCCAGGGAAGAUUCAGGUUGGACAUCAGGAAGGUUUUUUCACAAAGAAGGCUGUCAAGCAUUGGAACAGACUGCACAAAGAUGUGUUGGAGUCACCACCCCUGGAGGUGUUCAAGCAACAACUGUUCAUGGCACUGAGUGCUACGGUCCAGUUGACAAAGUGGUGACUGGUCAAAGGUUGGAAUCACAGAAUCACAGAAUAAGCUGAGUUGGAAGGCAGCCACAAGGAUCAUCAAAUCUGACUCCCUACACAGCUCCAUCCCCAAGAGUCACACCUCGUGCCCAAGAGUAUUGUCCAAAUUUUCCUUGAACUUUGUCAGGCUGGUGCUGUGACCAUUUCCCUGGGAAUCCUGUUCCAGUGACCAACCACCCUCUGGGUGAAGAACCUUUACUAAUAUCCAACCUAGCCCUCCCCUGACACAACUUCAGGCCAUUCCCUUGGGUCCUGUCUUGGAUCACCACAGAGAAGAGAUCAGUGCCUGCCCCUCCUCUUCUCCUCACAAGAAGUUGUAACUGCAUUGUUGUAACUCUUCUCCAGGUUGAACAGACCGAGUGACCUUAGAUGUUCCCCAUAGAGCUUCUCCUCAAGGUCCUUCACCACCUUUGUUGCCCUCUUUUGAAUAUUCUCUGCUGGUUUUCUAUUUGACUUCUAUUAUGGCACCCAAAACUCCCCCAGCACUUGAGGUGAGGCUGCCCCGGUGCAGAGCAGGACAAUCCCCUCCCUUGCCUGGCUGGUGAUGCUGUGCCUGGUGCCCCCAGGACACAUUUGACCCUUCUGGCUGCCAGGGCACUGCUGGCUCAUGUUCAACUUGCAUUGACCAGGACUCCCAGCUCCCUUCAUGUGGCACUGCUUUUCAGUCUCAUUCCUCAGUCUGUACAUACACAUUUGAAGGUCUUGUUCAGCCUAAGUGAUUCUAUGAAAUAAAGCUUUUUUUUUUUUCAACAAAUGUGUACUUGUCUUGAAUCUCUUCCUCAAUGUGCUUUAUUCGUGCUGGUCUCUGAUAUGGGGGGUGGCAGGGAGGGGGAUGUAGUAACUUAAGAACAAACCUUUAGGUCCUCAUUCUGUGCAUGUCACAGAUAUUCUGUUGAUAAGAGAACCACACGGUGUGAUAACAUUUCUCCAGAGCCAUAUGUAGUCUAUCUUGACAGACAAUGAAAGAUGGAUGCUUCUCAGCAUUCAUAUUGGUAAAAAUUAUCUGAAAAGAGA